GACGAACGCUGGCGGCGUGCCUAAUACAUGCAAGUAGAACGCUGAAGGAGGAGCUUGCUUCUCUGGAUGAGUUGCGAACGGGUGAGUAACGCGUAGGUAACCUGCCUGGUAGCGGGGGAUAACUAUUGGAAACGAUAGCUAAUACCGCAUAAUAUUGACUAUUGCAUGAUAGUCAGUUGAAAGGUGCAACUGCACCACUACCAGAUGGACCUGCGUUGUAUUAGCUAGUUGGUGGGGUAACGGCUCACCAAGGCGACGAUACAUAGCCGACCUGAGAGGGUGAUCGGCCACACUGGGACUGAGACACGGCCCAGACUCCUACGGGAGGCAGCAGUAGGGAAUCUUCGGCAAUAGACGGAAGUCUGACCGAGCAACGCCGCGUGAGUGAAGAAGGUUUUCGGAUCGUAAAACUCUGUUGUAAGAGAAGAACGAGUGUGAGAGUGGAAAGCUCACACUGUGACGGUAUCUUACCAGAAAGGGACGGCUAACUACGUG
rnacentral:rRNA from 1 species